rnacentral:rRNA from 1 species
UACGUAGGUGGCAAGCGUUGUCCGGAUUUACUGGGCGUAAAGGGCUUGUAGGCGGUUCGUUAAGUCUGGUGUGAAAUCUCCCGGCUCAACUGGGAGGGGUCAUCGGAUACUGGCGGACUUGAGGUAGGUAGAGGAAAGCAGAAUUCCUGGUGUAGCGGUGAAAUGCGUAGAUAUCAGGAGGAAUACCAGUGGCGAAGGCGGCUUUCUGGGCCUAUCCUGACGCUGAGGAGCGAAAGCGUGGGGAGCAAACCGG